UGGGGAAUAUUGGACAAUGGGCGCAAGCCUGAUCCAGCCAUACCGCGUGGGUGAAGAAGGCCUUCGGGUUGUAAAGCCCUUUUGUUGGGAAAGAAAAGCAUUCGGUUAAUACCCGAUUGUUCUGACGGUACCCAAAGAAUAAGCACCGGCUAACUUCGUGCCAGCAGCCGCGGUAAUACGAAGGGUGCAAGCGUUACUCGGAAUUACUGGGCGUAAAGCGUGCGUAGGUGGUUGUUUAAGUCUGUCGUGAAAGCCCUGGGCUCAACCUGGGAAUUGCGAUGGAAACUGGGCGACUAGAGUGUGGCAGAGGGUAGUGGAAUUCCUGGUGUAGCAGUGAAAUGCGUAGAGAUCAGGAGGAACAUCCGUGGCGAAGGCGACUGCCUGGGCCAACACUGACACUGAGGCACGAAAGCGUGGGGGAGCAAACAGGAUUAGAUACCCUGGUAGUCCACGCCCUAAACGAUGCGAACUGGAUGUUGGGUGCAAUUUGGCACGCAGUAUCGAAGCUAACGCGUUAAGUUCGCCGCCUGGGGAGUACGGUCGCAAGACUGAAACUU
rnacentral:rRNA from 1 species